GUUUUAUUUCGAUGUGUCAAUUGGUCUUUCCAGUCAGGGGGUUAGUUCCCUGUUCUUGACUGACAACUUAUUCUGUUAGUCGUUUCGCAAUUCUAUACUGCUUGACCCGCUGAGUUCCUCCAGCAGUUUUUUUUACAUCUAUGGACUCUUGUGUGAAGUAAGAUUGUCCAUGAUCCACCAAGUACGGCCGCACAAAUCACCGACUAACACUUCUGUGUUUACAGCUCACUAAGUUUCCGUUCCUUCGUGAUUCUCCCUCGAUGACACUCAAAAUAAUGAACUUUAGUCUUGCUGUUUCCGCAGCACGUUCCCCAUGAUACCCAAGGAGUAAAUGCACCAUUGGAAUGGUAUGUGUUGCCAAAAUGAAACUACUUUUUCUGGAAUUUUCUAUUACGGUAUGAAGUUCAAGUGACAGAAAAUCUGAGGAAAUUCAGAGCCUGAAUUUCAUUAAAGAAGAGGACAAUGGCUGGAAACCUAUGUGUC